GCUGUUGGGUGAAGAGAGAGGCCCAGGAAUGAACGCUGGGCACGGUACCUGAGUCGGACUGAGAGUAUUCCUUCUGAGAACAGC
rnacentral:snoRNA from 1 species